ACCAUAACCGAUACUACUGACCCAGUUAUGCGUCUAUUCCACUUGAUGAAAAUCGAUACAAAGUUUCGAGGUCAUUUCAAGUUUUAACGUUGUGAUAUACUUAUUACUGAUUCUCGUCACGAUCACGUACUGUAACCACUAUCCGUCAUAGACACAUGCCUUGUCAUAUGUCACUCGGUUAAACGACAUUUUAACAGGAACGGUUGCUGUCUUUUCACUUUGGGGGCAGAUGAAAGGCACACCUUUGAAAACCUUUUCGGGUGUUUUCUCUAAAUGGCUCAAUUUUGGGGCUCUUUUAAUCUAAUUAUGUAUUAAACAAGUAUCAUCAACAUUUAUAACCACCACCGAGUGAUUUUUUCUUAAAAUCUUUUAAAUGUAGUUAUAAAAAAAGUAAAAUUCGAUAAUCACGUGUCACGUGUUCUCGAAACUUUCUUUUGUGCAAAACCCUCAUGAUUAAGGCUUUUUUUUUGGUUUAUGCAAGAAUUUUGAGACUGGAAUGUUGAUCUAACCUCAACCGAUUAUUUCUCAACUUUAACUUUUGAUACUCGCUGGAUUACGUCUUGACUGGAUAUUGUCCUGGAUCAGUGAUCGUCGACAGCUAUACCCUGGUUUAGCUCAUGUACCUGACUAAAACUCAGCUACGCCUUUCGAAGUGACCACAUGGUAAUCAUCUAGUUCCAGUUGCAGGAAUUUUGUGGCCAGUUAUAAUUUUCUUAUAUAACCGUUCUGUUUAAAACAUAAUAUUCACCAAUUUAUUUCAAACUUUCCUACUUAUCCUUUCAUCUUUUUAUAUAUAACAUUUAACCUUAUUAUGAUAUUAUUUGAUAAAUCUUAAUAAUUAAUGUAAAAUAAUUCUAAUUACCAGUUCUUCAAUAUUUUCACAUUAUUACCUUUCGCCUUGUAUAUAUUGUUAGACAUUAUUAGAUAUUAUCAAUAAUAA